GGGAUAUCAUGGUCUACAGCCGGGAGAUACAGAUUCGAUCGGUCGGGUUUUCAUCGUGCCUGAGGGAGCUGGGUACUAUCCAGAUCACGAAACUACAAAAGCCAUACUGGAUGUUGUUCGGAGGCUUUAUGGCGAUCGGUUUUAUACUUCAUAGGAUGAAAUCCCAUAUGAUACUCGACAAGCUAUGUUUAGAGAGUUUAACAUGUUGUGUACAUGGGAUCCAAUAGACAAUGAUAGGGUUGCUGCGAACUUUGAGAAGAAGGGGAGUGCAAGGUUGUCUGAUUGGUUUUCGAGGGCUAGAAAGUAUAUGAGGAAGCCCCAAUGGCUAACUAGCGAACAGUGGGAGAAACUUAAGGCAUAUUGGCGAACUCCUGAGUUUAUCGCCAAGUCUGAGCAGGCAAAGGCUGCCCGUGCGUCCCAGAAAGGUGGCUCUUUGCACACUGCGGGUGCAAGAAGUCAGGGGCAUGUGGCUAGGACAAUGGUAAGUAAUUUUAUACUUUUAAAGUUACCUACGAUCAAUAUGUCAUUAUUGAGUUAUUAAUUCUAUCUUUAAC